AAGGGAGACCUAAUUCAGGUAGGAGACGAAAAAAAAGUAGUCCCUACCAAGAAUCAAUCCCAAAAGGUCGGAGCGAGGCAAAAUUGGCUUUCAAACUAGGUUCUGGGUUCACACAAGACCUGAAUCAGGAACAAGGGCUAUUAGCUCAGGUGGUUAGAGCGCAUCCCUGAUAAGGGUGAGGUCCCUGGUUCGAGUCCAGGAUGGCCCACCUGUACAGGUGGCAAAAACAAAGAAAAGAAGCGAGGAAUCAGCACCUUAUCUUACUUAUAUAGUAAGAGAGAAUGCUGGCUCUGAGUUCAGAGUCCAGAGGAACCUUGAAAACUGCAUAGAGCUAGGUGAAAAAGCCAAAAAAGAAGACCACAA
rnacentral:tRNA from 1 species